rnacentral:rRNA from 1 species
AGAGUUUGAUCCUGGCUCAGGAUGAACGCUAGCGACAGGCUUAACACAUGCAAGUCGAGGGGCAGCACAGGUAGCAAUACCGGGUGGCGACCGGCGCACGGGUGAGUAACGCGUAUGCAACUUGCCUAUCAGAGGGGGAUAACCCGGCGAAAGUCGGACUAAUACCGCAUGAAGCAGGGGCCCCGCAUGGGGAUAUUUGCUAAAGAUUCAUCGCUGAUAGAUAGGCAUGCGUUCCAUUAGGCAGUUGGCGGGGUAACGGCCCACCAAACCGACGAUGGAUAGGGGUUCUGAGAGGAAGGUCCCCCACAUUGGUACUGAGACACGGACCAAACUCCUACGGGAGGCAGCAGUGAGGAAUAUUGGUCAAUGGCCGAGAGGCUGAACCAGCCAAGUCGCGUGAGGGAUGAAGGUUCUAUGGAUCGUAAACCUCUUUUAUAAGGGAAUAAAGUGCGGGACGUGUCCCGUUUUGUAUGUACCUUAUGAAUAAGGAUCGGCUAACUCCGUGCCAGCAGCCGCGGUAAUACGGAGGAUCCGAGCGUUAUCCGGAUUUAUUGGGUUUAAAGGGUGCGUAGGCGGCCUUUUAAGUCAGCGGUGAAAGUCUGUGGCUCAACCAUAGAAUUGCCGUUGAAACUGGGGGGCUUGAGUAUGUUUGAGGCAGGCGGAAUGCGUGGUGUAGCGGUGAAAUGCAUAGAUAUCACGCAGAACCCCGAUUGCGAAGGCAGCCUGCCAAGCCAUUACUGACGCUGAUGCACGAAAGCGUGGGGAUCAAACAGGAUUAGAUACCCUGGUAGUCCACGCAGUAAACGAUGAUCACUAGCUGUUUGCGAUACACUGUAAGCGGCACAGCGAAAGCGUUAAGUGAUCCACCUGGGGAGUACGCCGGCAACGGUGAAACUCAAAGGAAUUGACGGGGGCCCGCACAAGCGGAGGAACAUGUGGUUUAAUUCGAUGAUACGCGAGGAACCUUACCCGGGCUUAAAUUGCAACAGAAUAUAUUGGAAACAGUAUAGCCGUAAGGCUGUUGUGAAGGUGCUGCAUGGUUGUCGUCAGCUCGUGCCGUGAGGUGUCGGCUUAAGUGCCAUAACGAGCGCAACCCUUGCCACUAGUUACUAACAGGUGAUGCUGAGGACUCUGGUGGGACUGCCAGCGUAAGCUGCGAGGAAGGCGGGGAUGACGUCAAAUCAGCACGGCCCUUACAUCCGGGGCGACACACGUGUUACAAUGGCGUGGACAAAGGGAGGCCACCUGGCGACAGGGAGCGAAUCCCCAAACCACGUCUCAGUUCGGAUCGGAGUCUGCAACCCGACUCCGUGAAGCUGGAUUCGCUAGUAAUCGCGCAUCAGCCAUGGCGCGGUGAAUACGUUC